rnacentral:rRNA from 1 species
GUCCACGCCGUAAACGUUGGGUGCUCGUCGUAGCGGGUAUUGACCCCUGCUGUGACCAAGCUAACGCGAGAAGCACCCCGCCUGGGAAGUACGGUCGCAAGACUAAAACUCAAAGAAAUUGACGGGGGCCCGCACAAGCGGUGGAGCAUGUGGUUUAAUUCGAAGCAACGCGCAGAACCUUACCUGGACUUGACAUCUCGGGAAUCUCCCUGAAAGGGGAGAGUGCCUUCGGGAACCCGAUGACAGGUGCUGCAUGGCUGUCGU